CAAACACAAUAUUGUCCGCCAGAGAACUACAAGCGAAAAACUAGAAACUCCAAGGACUUGGCGGUGCUCUAUACCAACCUAGAGGAGCCUGUCCUAUAAUCGAUACCCCACGUUAAACCUCACCCCCUUUUGCCCCUCAGCCUAUAUACCGCCGUCGUCAGCCUACCCUAUGAGAGAAAAAUAGUAAGCAAAACAGUUAUUAACUAACACGUCAGGUCAAGGUGUAGCAUAUAAGGUGGAAGAGAUGGGCUACAUUUUCUACCCCAGAACACACGAAUGACACAGUGAAACACGUACCUAAAGGUGGAUUUAGUAGUAAGAUAAACAAGCAACAUUAUCUAAAACCUGCUCUGGAGCGCGCACACACCGCCCGUCACCCUCAUCGCCAUAAUACUACAAAAACAUAUAAGACCCCCUAUAACCCAGAUGAGGCAAGUCGUAACAUGGUAAGCGUACUGGAAAGUGCGCUUGGACUUACAAAUAGUAGCUUAAAACAAAGCAUUCAGCUUACAAUUGAACAAUGUUAGAUUAUACCCCUAACCUCUUUGAGCCAGAACCAAAGCCCAAAUACUACCACAAACAACUAAAUGAGACAAAACAAACCAUUUCCCACAACCAGUAUAUGUGUUAGAAGCUACCUUAAGGCGCAAUAGAAACAGUACCGCA
rnacentral:rRNA from 1 species